ensembl:lncRNA
CUACUUUACAGGUGUAUUAACAUUGUUGGCCAAAUAAUGACCCUUUGUUCAAUAACAACAUGUGGAAGUGCAUCUCUCUAGGUCACUGUAGGACAAGGCGUCAUUCUCAGCCUCCUAAGCGAUUUUAACCAUUAUCAUGAGAUGUUAUUGCCAUUCCUAUUAAUAUAUAAUAUUGAUAUACCAUAUGUCCUGGGAUGGAGCUUCAAUAUUUGCCUAACUUUAGCUAUUUCUUACAUCAUUUUUAAACUUCAAAAUCACAUUUAAAUGAAUAACGUCUACUUCUUAAUCUUAUUCCAUAUUUCAUUUACCUCAUAAUAUUCAACUUCCAUUUUCUGUAUAGAUUGUGAGGCCUAGAGCGCUGCUUCCUGUUUCUCACAGUUUGGUAGCCAUUGACUUCUAGGAUGUAGAAGUUUUCUAAAAAUUGCUUAGACUUAAUUCAUUCUGAACGUUCAAAUCCGUGGGCAGGAGCGACAGAAAAUUCCUUGAACUUACUCCAAGGAGGGCAAUCUGUUUAUGAUGUGUUGACAUGGCAACAGUUACCUUGGACACCCAGCUUCUUCUUGUUUUCAUCACUCUACCUUAUUUUUGCCCUUUAAUAUGCAGCAUCCAGCUCAUGCUGUGUUGCAGGGAUUUGAUACUGUAUUUCUGACCCUCUCCCAUUACCCAUGGCCACAUAUAACAAUAUACUCUGUAUAAAAUGGUGUUCUGCAAAGUGAGCAAAAUCGGGAAGAUUCUAGAGGGACUUUGAAACUUGGACAAAUGGACCAACAAAGGUGCCUUGUUGUUGCACUAUAAUAAGCCUGGAUAACCAUCAAGGUCUAAAAAUACCAACUUAGGCUCUAUUUUUGGGCCCUUGCAUCUGAAGGCUUUUGUGCACAUGCUGGUGGGUUUUGAACUUACAGAGGAUUUGUGUCCUUACAGACAAGGAUAGUUGGAGCUCCCCACUGACCUUUCAGAGUUCAGACCCUUUGCUGUUGAGUUUACUGUUGGCUGUGCUGCCUUUCCUCACUUUAACGGAGUUGCCUGGUCCUGAAAUAAACUAUAGGUUUGUCAGCAUUGUCAUGUGAAUUGUUUUUAGACAUUGAAGCCUGUCUUUCAUUUCAAUGAUAAGCGUAAAAACCCACAUUCUUUCUGGCCUGAAGAAUUGGAAAACAGUUUGAGGGAUCCACAGACUCUUGAAAUUGAAGGGAGAAUCCAAUUCUGCGUAAAAUUUUUGCCUGUAUCCCUACUGAUCCCUGAACGACACGUGUGGGGCAGACAGCAAAGAGGACAUGGUAAAGAAAUAAAGAAUUGAAAUGGGAUUUGAGCUGCUGCACAAGGACUUUAUAAUUGGAAACUGUAGGGGAGGAGGACAUUUCCUCUACCCACUCUGGGGAGGUCCUUCUGGCCAGGCUAUGAAUUAAAUUGACAUGAGACAGAAUAAUAGGAGAAAAUCAAACAAAGCUUUAUAACAUGUCUACAUGGGAGACACUCAGGAAAACCUAGCAACAUGCCAAAAUGGUGGAGGGUUUCAUCUUAAAUACCAGCUUCAGCUAAAGAUAAAGGAGGAUGUUGGGAUGGGGGUGGGGGGGGGAAUCCGUUAUGGGAGAUCACCAGAAAAGCACAAUAAACAAGAGUAAGGUUAUUAUGCAGAUUUAAGUCCUUGCCUUCCACAUUGAUAAGAGAUUUUAGAGAUAAGGUCAUUCUCCUCUUCUUGGUACAGUUGGGGAAUCCCCUUACAAAUGUAAAUAUCUUUAGAAGGGGUAAGUAAUUUCUACUUUUCAGAGUUUCUCUCAUGUCUGCAGUUUUUAAAAGUAACCAGCCCAAAAUAAUCCUCAUCCCAAAGAGACACAUUUUGGGGUGGCCAAUUCCAAUCCCCCACAAAACCAACCAAGUUAAAUACCUGCUAAAACAAUAACCGCAAAAAUCAGCACUGUUCAGAGGGAAGUGACAGAAUUCUUAUAGAGCCUCUACAAUAUGAGGUCAUAAUGAACAGGACAUAAUACUAUAUUACACUGUAUUUUAUUCCACAAACAAAGAAUCAGAAUAAUGUGACCUAUUUUCAAAAGAAAAAUAUCAAUGUAGGCCUAUCUCCAAUGACCCAGAUUUCGGAAUGAGCAAACAAGGACUUUUAAGCAACUCUUGUAACAAUGCUCAUGAGGCCAGAAGCCUACUUUGAGAAUUGUGGAAUUUCUCUGCUACAGAGAUCUAUAAAUCCUGGUUGACCACAAAGACAUGUGAAACAUCAAGGAAGUGCUCCAGGACUCAGAUCUCCCACGGUUCAUUCAUUUCUGUGCCCACAUCCCUUUAACUGGUGAUAAUGGCAGGAGAUUUCUGGUCCUCAAGCUAAAAGCUUUAGCAUCUUCAGUGAUGAUUCCUGAUUCAUUGACAAUUCAAUGAAGAGUUGAACAAGUUAUUCAGAUUCUACCUCUGAAAUAUAUUUCAAGUUCAUCUCAGUUGAAGAUCUAAUGAUUUUCUUGGCCUAUAUAAUAAAGCCCAUAUCUUUAGUAAUACUCAG